ACAGCAGUCGCCGCGGUAAUACAGAGGGUGCGAGCGUUAAUCGGAUUUACUGGGCGUAAAGCGUGCGUAGGCGGCUAAUUGAGUCGGAUGUGAAAUCCCCGAGCUUAACUUGGGAAUUGCAUUCGAUACUGGUUAGCUAGAGUGUGGGAGAGGAUGGUAGAAUUCCAGGUGUAGCGGUGAAAUGCGUAGAGAUCUGGAGGAAUACCGAUGGCGAAGGCAGCCAUCUGGCCUAACACUGACGCUGAGGUACGAAAGCAUGGGGAGCAAACAGGAUUAGAUACCCCAGUAGUCCCUGUCUCUUAUAC
rnacentral:rRNA from 1 species